CCUACGGGAGGCAGCAGUGGGGAAUAUUGGGCAAUGGGCGCAAGCCUGACCCAGCAACGCCGCGUGAAGGAAGAAGGCUUUCGGGCUGUAAACUUCUUUUAAGAGGGAAGAGUAGAAGACGGUACCUCUUGAAUAAGCCACGGCUAACUACGUGCCAGCAGCCGCGGUAAUACGUAGGCGGCAAGCGUUGUCCGGAUUUACUGGGUGUAAAGGGCGGGUAGCCGGGCUGACAAGUCAGACGUGAAAUCCCGUGGCCCAACCACGGAACUGCCUUUGAAACUGUCGGUCUGGAGUGUCGGAGAGGCAGGCGGAAUUCCUAGUGUAGCGGUGAAAUGCGUAGAUAUUAGGAGGAACACCAGUGGCGAAGGCGGCCUGCUGGACGGCAACUGACGGUGAGGCGCGAAAGCGUGGGGAGCAAACAGGAUUAGAUACCCUAGUAGUC
rnacentral:rRNA from 1 species